rnacentral:rRNA from 1 species
UACGUAGGGUGCGAGCGUUAAUCGGAAUUACUGGGCGUAAAGUGUGCGCAGGUGGCCGCGCAAGUCGAGUGUGAAAUCCCCCGGGCUUAACUUGGGAAUUGCGCUCGAAACUACGUGGCUCGAGUAUGGCAGAGGAAGGUGGAAUUCCACGUGUAGCGGUGAAAUGCGUAGAGAGUGUGGAGGAACACCGAUGGCGAAGGCAGCCUUCUGGGCCAACUAC